GACACAGCUGGGGACACAGCAGCCACAGCAGCAGCAGCAGCCAGCGGCAGCGCCCCAUGCCGGGAGAGGGGGCCCAAAAAUUCCAAUUUAUUAAGGUGGGGUCAAGGAGUCGGGUGGGAAGUCCUUAAGGAGCAAAAAAAUCGGAUUUUUGUCCCAAAAAAUUCCAAUUUAUUAAGGUGGGGUCAAGGAGUCGGGUGGGAAGUCCUUAAGGAGCAAAAAAAUCUGGAUUUCUGUCCCAAAAAAUUUCAAUUUAUCCGGUUGGGAUCAAGGAGUUGAGUGGGAAAUGGUCCAAGAGUGCCCCAAAAAUUCCAAUUUAUUAAGGUGGGGUCAAGGAGUCCGGUGGGAAGUCCUUAAGGAGCAAAAAAAUCUGGAUUUCUGUCCCAAAAAAAUUCAAUUUAUCUGGUUGGGAUCAAGGAGUUGAGUGGGAAGUCCUUAAGGAGAAAAAAGUCCGAUUGAUGUCCUAAAAAAUCCCAAUUUAUUCAGUUGGGAUCAAGGAGUUGAGUGGGAAAUUAUUAAGGAUCAAAAAAUCGGAUUUUUGUCCCAAAAAAUUCCAAUUUAACAGGUUGGGAUCAAGGAGUCGGGUGGGAAAUGGUUCGAGAGUGAGGAAAAAAUGGAUUUGUGCCCCAAAAAUUCCAAUUUAUUAAGUUGGGGUGAAGGAGCUGGGUGGGAAGUCCUUAAGGAGCAAAAAAAAUCAGAUUUGUGUCCCAAAAAAUUUCAAUUUAUUAAGAUGGGAUGAAGGAGUUUGGUGAGAAGUGCUUAAGGACCAAAAAAAUCGGAUUUGUGUCCCAAAAAAAUUCCAAUUUAUCGGGUUGGGAUCAAGAAGUCAGGGAAAUGGUCUGAGAGUGAGGAAAAAUUGGAUUUGUGCUCAAAAAAUUCCAAUUUAUUAAGUUGGGAUCAAGGAGUUGAGUGGGAAAUUAUUAAGGAUCAAAAAAUCUGAUUGAUGUCCUAAAAAAUCCCAAUUUAUUCAGUUGGGAUCAAGGAGCUGAGUGGGAAAUCCUUAAGGACCAAAAAAAAAAGGAUUUGUGUCCAAAAAAAAUCCGAAUUUAUCAGGUGAGGAUCAAGGAGCAAAGUGCAAAAUCCUUCAGGACCAAAAAAAAUCAGAUUUGUGUCCAAAAAAUCCGAAAGAACCAGGUCAGGGUGAAGGAGCCAGGUGGGAAAUCCUCCAGGAGCAAUAAAAAUUCAGAUUUUUCUCUGAAAUAAAUCCCAAUGGAGCCGCUGAGAAGGAUCCAAGCAGCCACCGAGAAAAUCCAGAUUUGUGUCCAAAAAAUCCAAAUCCAGGUCAGGAUGGAGGAGCCGGGCAUGAAAUAGAAAUAAAACCCAAAGAAAUCCAAAUUAACCAGGUGAGAAAGAUCCGGAAUAAUUAAAAAUCCAAAUUGCAGAGGGAUCUGAGCAGCAGGGAGCGAAAUCCUUCAGGACCGAAGAAAAAAUUCGGAUUUGUGUCCAAAAAAAGUCCAAAUUUUUUUGUUGUUUCUGAAAAAAAUCCAAAAGUUUUGGAGUCCAAAAAACCCAAAUUUCCGAGGGAUCCGAGCAGGCAGGAGUGAAAUCCUUCAGGAUCAAAAAAAUCCAGAUUUGUGUCCCAAAAAUUCCAAAUUUCAGGCGGAUCCGAGCAGCUCCUCGGGAUGGAAAAGGUCGAGGUGGGGAUGGAGAUCCCAAAAUUUCUUUGGGAUUCUGGAGCUCCCCAGGAAUCCUGGAAUUCCUCUGGCGCCAAAAUCAGGCUUGAAACCGGUUCUAAGGGCACUCAGCCCCCAAAAUCGAGCUUGAAACUGGUUUUAGUCUGUCCCCCUGAAUCGGGCUUGAAACUGGUUUCACUCUGCUUCCCUUAAUCCGGUUUGAAACCGGUUUUAAGGGCACUCAGCCCCCAGAUCGAGCUUGAAACUGGUUUUACUCUGACCCCCUUAAUCCGGUUUGAAACCGGUUUUAAGGGCACUCAGCCCUCAGAUCGAGCUUGAAACUGGUUUUACUCUGACCCCCUUAAUCCGGUUUGAAACUGGUUUUAAGGGCACUCAGCCCUCAGAUCGAGCUUGAAACUGGUUUUACUCUGACCCCCUUAAUCCGGUUUGAAACCGGUUUUAAGGGCACUCAGCUCCCCAGAUCGAGCUUGAAACUGGUUUUACUCUGACCCUUCUGACCCCUUUAAUCCGGUUUGAGACCGGUUUCACUCUGUCCCCUCUGCUCCCCCCAAAAUCGGAUUUAAAACUGGUUUCACUCUGCCCCCACAAAUGGGGCUUGAAACUGGUUUUACUCUGCCCCCCAAAUUUGGGCUUAAAAUUGGUUUUAAGGGCACUCAGGCCCCCCCAAAUCGGGGUUGAAACUGGGUUUAGUCUGCCCCUUCUGACCCCCUUAAUCCAGUUUGAGACUGGUUUUACUCUGCUCCCCCAAACGGGGCUUGGAACUGGUUUUAAGGGCGCUCAGCCCACUCCAGGUCGGGUUUAAAGCUGGUUUUAAGGGUGCUGGAAGGUCCAAGCGCUCAGGGCAGAGCUGGGAUUUGCUGCUGAGCCCGGCUCAGCUCAGCCUGGGAUCCAUCCCAGCCUCUGGAAUCCGAAUCCUCAUCCCUCCCGCCGGGCAUACCCGGGAAUCGGGAUCCAGGGAAAGGCGAAAAUCCCGGGGGGAGCAAACAAACCCCUCACACCCCGAAACAAAUCCCAAAAAUCCCAAAAACAAAUCCCUAAAAUCCCAAAAACAAAUCCCUAAAAUCCCCAAAACAAACCACUCACUUCCCAAAAAACAAAUCCCAAAAAUCCCAAAAACAAAUCCCUAAAAUCCCCAAAACAAACCACUCACUUCCCAAAAAACAAAUCCCUCACACCCC